rnacentral:lncRNA from 1 species
GGCCAUAUAACGUAAUUAGAUACCAUUCACCCUCUGUCGCAUACUUUAUAAAGAAACACUACAAUCGAUCUGUUCUACAGGUCAGGUAUGCAGGAUUGGGUUGCUGUCUCAUUUUCAUCUACUCUAGUUCAUGUAUGUGUUCUCUCUCUAUACCGGACAAAAGCUGGCAUCCAAAAAAGUUAAGAAUAAUUUAAAUUUAGUUCUAAUCCUAAUCGUUUUGUAUCAUGUGACAAAAGUAAAUUUUGUGACCCUUUCAUUGCUGAAGGUCGAACGGUGAACUUAG